rnacentral:lncRNA from 1 species
UUUCCACUUAUUUCCUCGCCUCUUCCUCUCUUUUCACUCUCCCCCAUCUCCCUCAAGACCUCGCCGUCCACCACCCUACUACGCCGCUGGAAAUCUCCCACUGGCGAUGGCCGUCCACCAAAACAGCCCAAAAAUUCACCACUUCUUCCUCUCAACCUCCUAUCCAUGAAUCCAAGCCUCAUAUCCUCCAGACCUCCACCAAUCUCCGUAGAUCUAACCCCAACCGAAACCAUAGCUGCCCUGAUUAUUCCUCUUUCUUUCUCAAAUUCGUGACAAAUCCGACCACCCCACCCUACAAAUCUUACAUAAACGUGUAGAUCUCAAGGAGAUCUACACUUUCCCUCAAGGUUUACCCCGAAACUCCAAAAUCUGUCACUGCCGCCGCACCACUGCCGUUGUACUACCGCCAAAUACCGCAUCUCCGUUUCAAUCCACUUCUCGACUCAAAGACGCUCGUUUCCUUUUGGCAAGACGUCGAAACUCAUUUGUUUUAGCGUCUACCCGAAAGAAAUACGCGUUUUGGGGUCGGACAACCGCUAUUCGAAGGUUUCGAUAUCGUCUCGUCGCUCGAUUCAUCCUCGAAUGUCACUAGAAUUGGGUAAACUUGAACCCUAAUAUUUUCCUCCAUGUUUCUGAUUUUUUUGUUAUUGUUGUUUCCUACUGUUGAUUAUAGUUUUUAUUAUAGUGUAAAAUUUGUUGUUAUUUCGUCUAUGUUCGUAGUCAUUUCGUGUAAUCACUUGUUUAUUAGUUUGAUUAGCAGUUGUUUAUCUCUUGAUUAUUAGGGCUAUUUAGUUAUCAAUGUGUUGACUUUUUAUUUAUUCAAGUGUAUUGUUUAGUCAUAGUUGUUUUAAUGAAACAAUUAGUUGGUAUGUGAUUUGUUAAGCUGAUGGUUUCAAUUAGUUAGUUUGGAUAAUACACUUGUUUUGUUUGAUAUUUAGUUAUUAGAUUCUGAGUUUCCCUUAGUUGGUUUAUAGUUCAAUUUCUAAGUCUAGUUAUGUGUUUUUCUAUCUUAGUUUGGUUUGAAUCACAUAGGUUGGUACUAAUAUUGUAAGAGCUGAAGUUUAGGUUAUUUUAUCAUAAAAUAGGGUACUAGUAGCCUACAUUUUACUAGCACGGUAACUGAAAUGAUAUUUUUUCUCAUUGCUUCUGCUAUAGUAGAUUUUUAGGCUGUCCUUUCGCCCUUUGGACAGCCUUUGAACAAUGUUUAGCACACAAAGUCAGUCCUUUUUUGACAGACUUUUGGUGAACUAAAAUCUGUCCAAAAAGUGGCUUUCUUUGCCUACUUAAGGGCUAUCCUUUCCUCACUUUACACACACACACACACACACACACACUCUAUGAUACUUAGAGAUCAUCUUUUACACUUAAAAAAUACAUACGUAUCUUUGAGAAAAAUCAGCAGUUGAAUACUAAUAAUAAGCUGAAAAUUAUGAGCUUUGUGAGUGUUUCUUAGAGUGCAAAACCUUUGAGAAAAAUAAAAAGAUCCCUUCGGCAAUUUGUGAAGUUUGUUUAGUUACUAGUUUCAAGCAUCCUUGUUUAUUUUCUGGGCUGUUUUAACAUUGAGGGGUUGCUGUCUUUAGUACUGUGUUUGCUGCUAUUCUUGUUGAUCCUACUGUUGUACUUUUAUUAUUUUGCGACUCAGGUAACUCUUUAACCUUAUGUUGCAGAUAUUUUCACAUUAACAUGAAGAUUUGAACUCAUCUUGACUACUGGGAGCAUAUCCAUCUAGAUAAAUUAAUGCUAGAUAGUUUUUUUUGAUUGUUUAAUUAUAUCUUGUUGGAUUCAUAUGUAAAAAUGACUCCCUGAAUGUUUAAAUAGUCUUUAUUCAUGUGUAGCUGGACUUUAUUAUCUAAUAUAGUUUCAAUGCAUGCAAAAUGAGAUGUUUCAAGUAGGUUGUAAUGUGUUUAAGAACUACUUUUACACCUUGUGUAAUUCUGGCAAGUUUAUGUUAGGCCAUUCUUUAAAGUAAAGAACAAAACAGCCAUGUCUG